GUGCCAGCAGCCGCGGUAAAACGUAGGGGGCGAGCGUUGUCCGGAAUUACUGGGCGUAAAGGGCGCGUAGGCGGUCAUUUAAGUCAGAGGUGAAAACUACCGGCUUAACCGGUAGCCUGCCUUUGAAACUGGAUGACUUGAGGGCAGGAGAGGGGAGUGGAAUUCCCAGUGUAGCGGUGAAAUGCGUAGAUAUUGGGAGGAACACCAGUGGCGAAGGCGGCUCUCUGGCCUGUUUCUGACGCUGAGGCGC
rnacentral:rRNA from 1 species